rnacentral:lncRNA from 1 species
CUGCUGUGUCAUGCAAGAAGGAGGCGGCGGCGGCGGCCGGAGCUGGAGGGGGAGGAGGGGAGGAACCUGAUCCUCGGUAGCGAAGGGCUGGAGGCAAACACCGAGCUCCCCCUGAGCCGCCUGGGAGCAGGGAGGGUUCUGCUACCCUGAGGGGCCCUCCCCGCGGGGCAGAGGGGUUUCCUCAGCAGUGCCCCGGAGCAGGGACCGCGCCAGCCAGCAGAAACAGCUAGUUGUUGUCUGCAGUGAAGAAUAAUUGGAAGCAUGGUGCCUGUUUCUUUUCCUGUGGGAGGAAGUCACAGCAUCUACUUCUGAAUCUGUGCUUGCCUUGAGGAAAAACGGCAUGGCACAGGAAUGUGGACGCUUUCAACCAGAGGAUUCUGUACGACGGUGUCGGCACACACUCAUCCUCGUCUACGGCCAAACGUUGGUUUCUCAUUUCUAGAAGAUGAAAGAUGUGAUGACUCAGGAAAAACUUGCUGCUCGAGAUGUGAGUCUUCAGAUGUUCCUGCCGCCAUAUCUGACAGCUGCUGCCAAGAUUCCCUGGUGGGAUGGACUCUUAUACCUCAACAACCAGAAGCCCAAGUAAACUCUUCUAUAAAUUGAAUGACUCAUGCUUAAAAAAAAAAACAAAAAACAAACUAUCUUUAUUUUGUGU